rnacentral:rRNA from 1 species
AUGAACGCUGGCGGCACGCUUAACACAUGCAAGUCGAGCGGAGAGAUAUACGGAAGAUUUCGGUUGGAAGUAUAGAACUUAGCGGCGGACGGGUGAGGAACGCGUGGGUAACCUGCCCUGUACAGGGGGAUAACACAGAGAAAUCUGUGCUAAAACCGCAUAAGCUUACGGGACCGCAUGGUCUUGUGAGAAAAAACUCCGGUGGUACAGGAUGGGCCCGCGUCUGAUUAGCUAGUUGGAGAGGUAAGAGCUCACCAAGGCGACGAUCAGUAGCCGGUCUGAGAGGAUGGACGGCCACAUUGGGACUGAGACACGGCCCAAACUCCUACGGGAGGCAGCAGUGGGGAAUAUUGCACAAUGGGGGAAACCCUGAUGCAGCGAUGCCGCGUGAAGGAAGAAGAUUUUCGGAUUGUAAACUUCUAUCAGCAAGGAAGAAAACGGACAGUACUUGAGUAAGAAGCCCCGGCUAACUACGUGCCAGCAGCCGCGGUAAUACGUAGGGGGCGAGCGUUAUCCGGAAUUACUGGGUGUAAAGGGUGCGUAGGCGGUACGGCAAGUUUGAUGUGAAACCCUCGGGCUUAACCCGAGGCAUGCAUCGAAAACUACAGAACUAGAGUGCAGGAGAGGAAAGCGGAAUUCCUAGUGUAGCGGUGAAAUGCGUAGAUAUUAGGAAGAACACCAGUGGCGAAGGCGGCUUUCUGGACUGUAACUGACGCUGAGGCACGAAAGCGUGGGGAGCAAACAGGAUUAGAUACCCUGGUAGUCCACGCCGUAAACGAUGAAUGCUAGGUGUUGGGUCCUGAAGGACUCGGUGCCGCAGUUAACGCAAUAAGCAUUCCACCUGGGGAGUACGACCGCAAGGUUGAAACUCAAAGGAAUUGACGGGGGCCCGCACAAGCGGUGGAGCAUGUGGAUUAAUUCGACGCAACGCGAAGAACCUUACCAGGUCUUGACAUCCCUCUGAAUACCGUAGAGAUAUGGUAGGCCUUCGGGACAGAGGAGACAGGUGGUGCAUGGUUGUCGUCAGCUCGUGUCGUGAGAUGUUGGGUUAAGUCCCGCAACGAGCGCAACCCUUAUCGAUAGUAGCCAGCGAGUAAAGUUGGGCACUCUAUUGAGACUGCCGGGGAUAACUCGGAGGAAGGUGGGGAUGACGUCAAAUCAUCAUGCCCCUUAUGACCUGGGCUUCACACGUGCUACAAUGGCUGUCACAAAGAGAAGCGAACCUGCGAAGGGGAGCGAAGCUCAAAAAGGCAGUCCCAGUUCGGAUUGCAGGCUGCAACCCGCCUGCAUGAAGCUGGAAUCGCUAGUAAUCGCGAAUCAGCAUGUCGCGGUGAAUACGUUCCCGGGCCUUGUACACACCGCCCGUCACACCAUGGGAGUUUAGAGCACCCGAAGUCAGUGAGGUAACCGAAAGGAGCCAGCUGCCGAAGGUGAGCUAAGUAACUGGGGUG